UCUAUACCUCCUCCCUCCUCUCUUCCUGCCUCAGAGCGUCUGGAUCCUUCUUUGAGGUCGUCAGUUGCUCCUUCAUCAGUUUUUAAAGACUUUUUCUUCCCAAACGACGUUGCUUUUGUCUCCUAAACGCGGCUGUUGACAUGGAACAGAAUGGAGCCCAGUGAGGAUCCUCAAGACCCCGUUCACUCUGGUCCAAGGGACCACAGCUCUGCAACAAACCGACUGUCCACUAGAGGGCGUAAACGUGACAGUACUGCCCUGACCACUCCUGUAGGGGGCAGCACCUUCAGAGAUCGCUCAAAUGACCAACCCAUAAACUUCAAAAAGCCACGCUGUUUAACUCCUGUAGGGGGCAGCACCUUCAGAGAUCGCUCAAACGACCGUUUCAUACUCUUCAAAAAGCCACAGCGUUUACAAAAACACAGACGCAGAGUCAAGAGCGUCACGGCCAGAGGAAAUGCUCCACCUGCAGCUAACGUGUCAGUCAGAAAGAUGACCACACCCACUGCCUCACUGGCCCCACCUACUCCCUCCCUGGCUCCGCCCACCCCCGCAGUGGUCAGGAGCAAAGCCUGGGCCGAUUACGACGAGGAGGACGACCGCCGCGUGUACGAAGAAGACCCCGCCACUCUGUUCCUGGAGACUGAUCGGCCCCUUUCCCUCUGUACCCCAGACCCCGCCCUCCCCCCUCCAGACCCCGCC
ensembl:lncRNA